rnacentral:rRNA from 1 species
GGGUUGUGAGGUUAAGCGACUAAGCGUACACGGUGGAUGCCCUGGCAGUCAGAGGCGAUGAAGGACGUGCUAAUCUGCGAUAAGCGCCGGUAAGGUGAUAUGAACCGUUAUAACCGGCGAUUUCCGAAUGGGGAAACCCAGUGUGAUUCGUCACACUAUCAUUAACUGAAUCCAUAGGUUAAUGAGGCGAACCGGGGGAACUGAAACAUCUAAGUACCCCGAGGAAAAGAAAUCAACCGAGAUUCCCCCAGUAGCGGCGAGCGAACGGGGAGGAGCCCAGAGCCUGAAUCAGCAUGUGUGUUAGUGGAAGCGUCUGGAAAGGUGCGCGAUACAGGGUGACAGCCCCGUACACAAAAGCGCAUGUGCUGUGAGCUCGAUGAGUAGGGCGGGACACGUGGUAUCCUGUCUGAAUAUGGGGGGACCAUCCUCCAAGGCUAAAUACUCCUGACUGACCGAUAGUGAACCAGUACCGUGAGGGAAAGGCGAAAAGAACCCCGGCGAGGGGAGUGAAAAAGAACCUGAAACCGUGUACGUACAAGCAGUGGGAGCACAGGUUUACCUGUGUGACUGCGUACCUUUUGUAUAAUGGGUCAGCGACUUAUAUUCUGUAGCAAGGUUAACCGUAUAGGGGAGCCGUAGGGAAACCGAGUCUUAACCGGGCGUUAAGUUGCAGGGUAUAGACCCGAAACCCGGUGAUCUAGCCAUGGGCAGGUUGAAGGUUGGGUAACACUAACUGGAGGACCGAACCGACUAAUGUUGAAAAAUUAGCGGAUGACCUGUGGCUGGGGGUGAAAGGCCAAUCAAACCGGGAGAUAGCUGGUUCUCCCCGAAAGCUAUUUAGGUAGCGCCUCGUGAAUUCAUCUCCGGGGGUAGAGCACUGUUUCGGCUAGGGGGCCAUCCCGGCUUACCAACCCGAUGCAAACUGCGAAUACCGGAGAAUGUUAUCACGGGAGACACACGGCGGGUGCUAACGUCCGUCGUGAAGAGGGAAACAACCCAGACCGCCAGCUAAGGUCCCAAAGUCAUGGUUAAGUGGGAAACGAUGUGGGAAGGCCCAGACAGCCAGGAUGUUGGCUUAGAAGCAGCCAUCAUUUAAAGAAAGCGUAAUAGCUCACUGGUCGAGUCGGCCUGCGCGGAAGAUGUAACGGGGCUAAACCAUGCACCGAAGCUGCGGCAGCGAACGUAUCACCCAAGACAACUUUACGGAGUUGACGAUUGACGGAGCGAAGCGACGUCAAAGCGUUCAUUAAAGUCGAGUUGGCUUAGGGAUACGUUCGUUGGGUAGGGGAGCGUUCUGUAAGCCUGUGAAGGUGUGUCGUGAGGCAUGCUGGAGGUAUCAGAAGUGCGAAUGCUGACAUAAGUAACGAUAAAGCGGGUGAAAAGCCCGCUCGCCGGAAGACCAAGGGUUCCUGUCCAACGUUAAUCGGGGCAGGGUGAGUCGACCCCUAAGGCGAGGCCGAAAGGCGUAGUCGAUGGGAAACGGGUUAAUAUUCCCGUACUUGGUGUUACUGCGAAGGGGGGACGGAGAAGGCUAUGUUGGCCGGGCGACGGUUGUCCCGGUUUAAGCGUGUAGGUGUGUGUUCCAGGUAAAUCCGGUUCACUUUAACACUGAGGCGUGACGACGAGGCACUACGGUGCUGAAGCAACAAAUGCCCUGCUUCCAGGAAAAGCCUCUAAGCAUCAGGUAACAUCAAAUCGUACCCCAAACCGACACAGGUGGUCAGGUAGAGAAUACCAAGGCGCUUGAGAGAACUCGGGUGAAGGAACUAGGCAAAAUGGUGCCGUAACUUCGGGAGAAGGCACGCUGACACGUAGGUGAAGUGAUUUACUCAUGGAGCUGAAGUCAGUCGAAGAUACCAGCUGGCUGCAACUGUUUAUUAAAAACACAGCACUGUGCAAACACGAAAGUGGACGUAUACGGUGUGACGCCUGCCCGGUGCCGGAAGGUUAAUUGAUGGGGUCAGCGUAAGCGAAGCUCCUGAUCGAAGCCCCGGUAAACGGCGGCCGUAACUAUAACGGUCCUAAGGUAGCGAAAUUCCUUGUCGGGUAAGUUCCGACCUGCACGAAUGGCGUAAUGAUGGCCAGGCUGUCUCCACCCGAGACUCAGUGAAAUUGAACUCGCUGUGAAGAUGCAGUGUACCCGCGGCAAGACGGAAAGACCCCGUGAACCUUUACUAUAGCUUGACACUGAACAUUGAGCCUUGAUGUGUAGGAUAGGUGGGAGGCUUUGAAGUGUGGACGCCAGUCUGCAUGGAGCCGACCUUGAAAUACCACCCUUUAAUGUUUGAUGUUCUAACGUGGACCCGUAAUCCGGGUUGCGGACAGUGUCUGGUGGGUAGUUUGACUGGGGCGGUCUCCUCCUAAAGAGUAACGGAGGAGCACGAAGGUUGGCUAAUCCUGGUCGGACAUCAGGAGGUUAGUGCAAUGGCAUAAGCCAGCUUGACUGCGAGCGUGACGGCGCGAGCAGGUGCGAAAGCAGGUCAUAGUGAUCCGGUGGUUCUGAAUGGAAGGGCCAUCGCUCAACGGAUAAAAGGUACUCCGGGGAUAACAGGCUGAUACCGCCCAAGAGUUCAUAUCGACGGCGGUGUUUGGCACCUCGAUGUCGGCUCAUCACAUCCUGGGGCUGAAGUAGGUCCCAAGGGUAUGGCUGUUCGCCAUUUAAAGUGGUACGCGAGCUGGGUUUAGAACGUCGUGAGACAGUUCGGUCCCUAUCUGCCGUGGGCGCUGGAGAACUGAGGGGGGCUGCUCCUAGUACGAGAGGACCGGAGUGGACGCAUCACUGGUGUUCGGGUUGUCAUGCCAAUGGCACUGCCCGGUAGCUAAAUGC